AGAUUGCAGCAUGCGAGUUUCGCAUAUGGUCUCCCACUAUACUACUCGGUCGCACCCUUAGCCGCUUAACUACGGUUGAUCGGACGGGGAACGGUGCUUUCGGCUAGGUAUGGCCGCAACC
rnacentral:rRNA from 1 species